UACGGAGGGAGCUAGCGUUGUUCGGAAUUACUGGGCGUAAAGCGCACGUAGGCGGCUUUGUAAGUUAGAGGUGAAAGCCCGGGGCUCAACCCCGGAAUUGCCUUUAAGACUGCAUCGCUUGAAUCCGGGAGAGGUGAGUGGAAUUCCGAGUGUAGAGGUGAAAUUCGUAGAUAUUCGGAAGAACACCAGUGGCGAAGGCGGCUCACUGGACCGGUAUUGACGCUGAGGCGCGAAAGCGUGGGGAGCAAACAGG
rnacentral:rRNA from 1 species